GACGAACGCUGGCGGCGUGCUUAACACGUGCAAGUCGAACGGUGAAGGGGUCUGCUUUUGUGGGCCCUGGAUGAGUGGCGAACGGGUGAGUAACACGUGAGUAACCUGCCCCCUUCUUCUGGAUAACCGCAUGAAAGUGUGGCUAAUACGGGAUAUUCUGGGUCUGUCGCAUGAUGGGUCUGGGAAAGCUUGCGCCUUUGGGUGUUUUUGGUGGGGGAUGGGCUCGUGGGCUAUAAGCUCGUUGGGGGGGUGAUGGCCUAAGAAGGCGGUGACGGUUAGCGCGACAGAGAGAGUGGAAGGUCACAAUAGAACUGCGACACGAGAAAGAGUACUAGGGGAGGCAGCAGUGAGGAAUAUUGCAGAAUGGGCGAUAGCCUGAUGCAGCGACGGCGGAUGAGGGAUGGGGGCCUGCGGGUUGUAAACCUCUUUAGCAAGUGAGGCAGGCCUGCUCCUUGUGGGUGGGUUGACGGUAGCUGGAUAAGAAGCGCCGGCUAACUACGUG
rnacentral:rRNA from 1 species